UUCGGGGGACAAAGUGACAGGUGGUGCAUGGUUGUCGUCAGCUCGUGUCGUGAGAUGUUGGGUUAAGUCCCGCAACGAGCGCAACCCUUAAGCUUAGUUGCCAGCAUUAAGUUGGGCACUCUAAGUUGACUGCCGGUGACAAACCGGAGGAAGGUGGGGAUGACGUCAAAUCAUCAUGCCCCUUAUGAUUUGGGCUACACACGUGCUACAAUGGACGGUACAAAGGGCAGCGAACCCGCGAGGUCAAGCAAAUCCCAUAAAGCCGUUCUCAGUUCGGAUUGUAGUCUGCAACUCGACUACAUGAAGCUGGAAUCGCUAGUAAUCGUAGAUCAGCAUGCUACGGUGAAUACGUUCCCGGGUCUUGUACACACCGCCCGUCACACCACGAGAGUUUGUAACACCCGAAGCCGGUGGAGUAACCUUUUAGGAACUAGCCGUCGAAGGUGGGACAAAUGA
rnacentral:rRNA from 1 species